UCUGGUGCAAUUUGAAUACAUUUUCAGAUAGACAUUUAUAAACUGAACAAAAAAUUUUUUAUUUGAUGAAAAAAUUGCAAGAAAUGAAAAAAAUACAGCAAUUCUAGUUUUGGAAUUUCACACAAUUCUAUGGCUGCAGUUUGGUCAGAGUUCUGUAUACACCUGUCAUAGGAAAAAGGCUGUAAGUUUCAAAUUAAAUGAUAGAAUGACCUGAAAACAUCAGGAUUUGUUCGAAAUACCCUAUAUUUUAUUUUGCUAGAAUAUUAUUUGAAUUCACCGACAAAUCUGUACUAACUAGGCACAAGACCACAGUUACUUGCCCUUGGUUGACCACAAUAAGGAAGUGCUUACUCGGAAAAUAGUUCCUCUGUUUGAUGGUGAAUAUUGGUGAAAAAUUGAAUGAAAGACAUGCACUAAAAGGCAUAAUUUAAGAGAGGAGAUGUGAAAUAAUAGUUAGAUGUGAAUUUUGAUAGGAUUAAAUUGUCUGAAUAUGCAAAACCGGUCACUUGAAGAGGACAGAUUUUGCCUGUUUGCAGCCGUCAAAAGACUAUUUACCAUAGGCGUAUGAUUUGGGUAAACAUACUGAAAAAAGGAGCCGGUCAACCCAUAAUUUCUUGUGGCUGGAAUUUUUUCUCUUGGAUAGUUCUAUUCAGGGCAGGUUGGUGAUUUUAUGACUGGCGAGAUACAUAGAACGGUUCCACCAAGAGUUGGUAACACCUCCACCACAGACGUAUGAGUGACGCCUACAGCUUGAACAGUCCCCAGCAUAGCAGUUUACAGUGGCAGUUAGGACACUAGGGCUGACGUCUCAGUCACUUUUGGUCGUAGCACCCGGACAUUUCCAGAGGUUUCCCCUCCAUCAGCAGUAGGUCUAGCCACUAGAGAGAAUUCUUCUGCAGUCAUCCUUGAGGUAGAGGGCUUCUGUUCAGUGUCUCCA
rnacentral:lncRNA from 1 species